GAGUUUAUAGCUUAAUUGGUUAAAGUCAUAUUUUGUCAUAAUAUGGAAUAUCCAUUCGAAUUGGAUUAAACUCG
rnacentral:tRNA from 1 species